AAUCUUCGGGGCAGGGUGAAAUUCCCUACCGGCGGUAUUUGCUUUUGCAUAAGCCCGCGAGCCUUUACGGCAGAUUUGGUGUGAUUCCAAAGCCGACAGUACAGUCUGGAUGAAAGAAGAUA
rnacentral:ncRNA from 1 species